rnacentral:rRNA from 1 species
UACCUAACCAGAAAGCCACGGCUAACUACGUGCCAGCAGCCGCGGUAAUACGUAGGUGGCAAGCGUUGUCCGGAAUUAUUGGGCGUAAAGCGCGCGCAGGCGGUCUCUUAAGUCUGAUGUGAAAGCCCACGGCUCAACCGUGGAGGGCCAUUGGAAACUGGGGGACUUGAGUACUGGAGAGGAGAGUGGAAUUCCAUGUGUAGCGGUGAAAUGCGUAGAUAUAUGGAGGAACACCAGUGGCGAAGGCGGCUCUCUGGCCAGUAACUGACGCUGAGGCGCGAAAGCGUGGGGAGCAAACAGGAUUAGAUACCCUGGUAGUCCACGCCGUAAACGAUGAGUGCUAGGUGUUGGGGGGUUCCACCCUCAGUGCUGACGUUAACACAUUAAGCACUCCGCCUGGGGAGUACGGCCGCAAGGCUGAAACUCAAAGGAAUUGACGGGGGCCCGCACAAGCAGUGGAGCAUGUGGUUUAAUUCGAAGCAACGCGAAGAACCUUACCAGGUCUUGACAUCCUUCGCUACUUCUAGAGAUAGAAGGUUCCCCUUCGGGGGACGAAGUGACAGGUGGUGCAUGGUUGUCGUCAGCUCGUGUCGUGAGAUGUUGGGUUAAGUCCCGCAACGAGCGCAACCCUUGAUCUUAGUUGCCAGCAUUCAGUUGGGCACUCUAAGGUGACUGCCGGUGACAAACCGGAGGAAGGUGGGGAUGACGUCAAAUCAUCAUGCCCCUUAUGACCUGGGCUACACACGUGCUACAAUGGAUGGUACAAAGGGCAGCAAAACCGCGAGGUUGAGCGAAUCCCAUAAAGCCAUUCUCAGUUCGGAUUGCAGGCUGCAACUCGCCUGCAUGAAGCCGGAAUUGCUAGUAAUCGCGG